ACAAAGUCAUCAACUAUCGCUCGCCGCAUGGCUUAACUGGGAAGUCCGGUGUAAAUCCGGCGCUGCCCCCGCAACGGUAAAUGCGGUGCUAUCAAGGGAUAGCACGCAUCAGCCCGAUACCAGCCUGACGAUCACACUUUCA
rnacentral:ncRNA from 2 species